GAUGAACGCUGGCGGCGUGCCUAAUACAUGCAAGUCGAGCGAACAGAUGAGGAGCUUGCUCCUCUGACGUUAGCGGCGGACGGGUGAGUAACACGUGGAUAACCUACCUAUAAGACUGGGAUAACUUCGGGAAACCGGAGCUAAUACCGGAUAAUAUAUUGAACCGCAUGGUUCAAUAGUGAAAGACGGUUUUGCUGUCACUUAUAGAUGGAUCCGCGCCGCAUUAGCUAGUUGGUAAGGUAACGGCUUACCAAGGCAACGAUGCGUAUCCGACCUGAGAGGGUGAUCGGCCACACUGGAACUGAGACACGGUCCAGACUCCUACGGGAGGCAGCAGUAGGGAAUCUUCCGCAAUGGGCGAAAGCCUGACGGAGCAACGCCGCGUGAGUGAUGAAGGUCUUCGGAUCGUAAAACUCUGUUAUUAGGGAAGAACAAAUGUGUAAGUAACUAUGCACGUCUUGACGGUACCUAAUCAGAAAGCCACGGCUAACUACGUG
rnacentral:rRNA from 1 species